GUGGAUUAGAUACCCUGGUAGUCCAUGCCGUAAACGUUGGGCGCUAGGUGUGGGACUCAUUCCACGAGUUCCGUGCCGCAGCUAACGCAUUAAGCGCCCCGCCUGGGGAGUACGGCCGCAAGGCUAAAACUCAAAGGAAUUGACGGGGGCCCGCACAAGCGGCGGAGCAUGCGGAUUAAUUCGAUGCAACGCGAAGAACCUUACCAAGGCUUGACAUAUACCGGAAACUUCCAGAGAUGGUUGCCCCCUUUGGGUCGGUAUACAGGUGGUGCAUGGUUGUCGACAGCU
rnacentral:rRNA from 1 species